rnacentral:tRNA from 1 species
GCCUGAGUAGUAUAAUUAAGUAUUUCUAGUUUGCAUCUAGAAGGUAACCUUUGGUUCUAAGGCU